rnacentral:rRNA from 1 species
AACGUAGGAGGCGAGCGUUAUCCGGAUUUACUGGGCGUAAAGCGUGUGUAGGCGGUUUGAUAAGUUGGAUGUGAAAGCUCCUGGCUCAACUGGGAGAGGUCGUUCAAAACUAUCAGACUUGAGAGUGGUAGAGGGAGGUGGAAUUCCGCGUGUAGUGGUGAAAUGCGUAGAUAUGCGGAGGAACACCAGUGGCGAAAGCGGCCUCCUGGCCCAUUUCUGACGCUCAGACACGAAAGCUAAGGUAGCAAACGGG